GCAGCCGGCCAGGCCCUGAGCACGCGCCCGGCCCGCCAGCCCAGGGACAGCAGAGCCAGCUUCCGGGCCAGGGCGGCCAGACGCUUCACCUCCGGGACCCGCCAUGGCUGUGGCCGCCUGGAGCUCUGCUGGGACGGGCCUGUGCCGGCGCUCGGGCCCACAGGGAGAGCAGCGGAAAGGCAGCUCUCAGCGGGGCUCCCGCCCCGUCUUGCCCUGAGGACCCAAAGCCGCCCAGACAGCCUGUGUGCCCCGCGUGUCUGAGGCCUGCUGUCCAGGUCCAAGGCUCUGGGCCGCGACCGGCUCGCAGGUGCCCCCCUGAUGGCAGCCAGAAGCCCCGCACACACCUGAAAGGCCACCCACGUCCAUCUUCUUGAGGUUCUUGGCCUCCAGGAUGCAGACGGUCCCUCCACUCCUCGAUGGGCUGCCCCAGGUCCACGGUGUUCAUGGGCACCUUCACCUCCCCGAUGAUGUCGUGUUUGGAGAAGCGGUCAAAGUCAUAGAUGGCCAUCACCAGGGUCUUGCCCCCCAGCUCCUGGAGGAAGACCUUGACGUAAGGGUCCGAGGUGCCGCCCAUGUCCAGGGCGGGCAGUUCCGCGGCCUGCAGGAUGCCCACGGGAAUCGGAAUAAGAUGGGGGAGACGGUCGCCGAGGGGUGACUGGUCUGCCCGAGGAGGGCGGCCCGUGGACGGCCUGAGCACAGCCCUUCCCUGGAGCCCUGGGGGCCGCCCCCGCCCCGCACACCUGGUUGGCCUGGAAGUCGUAGUCCAGGGAGAACUGCAGCUUCCCCAGUGCAGGCCACCACGUGGGCAGCACGUACCAGGCGUGCAGUCCGGGCGUCCAGGCCAGAUGCAGAAGCAGCAGGUGAGGAGCAGGAGGCCCAGGAGCACCGCGAUGGCGACCAGCGCCCAGCGGGGGACUGCCCACGGGGACACCGGGGUCAGCGGUGCCCUCCUGUAGCC